UUAGUAGAGACGGGGUUUCACCAUGUUAGCCAGGAUAGUCUCGAUCUCCUGACCUCAGGUGAUCCACCUGCCUCGGCCUCCCAAAGUCCUAGGAUUACAGACAUGAGCAACCGCGAUAUGUUGUUAUUAAUUAAAGUUUAUAGUUUACAUUAGGGCUCACUCCUGGUAUUGUACAUGCUGUGGGUUUGGGCAAAUGUAUCAUGGCAGGCAUCUACCAUUAUAGCAACAUACAGAAUAACUUCACUGCUCUAAAAUUCCCCAGUGCUUCACCGAUUCAUCCCUCCCUUCCCCAACCCCCAACCCCUGGCAGUCACUGAUCUUUUCAUUAUCUUCAUAGUUUAGCUUUUUCCUGAAUGUCAUAUAGCUGGAAUCAUAAAUAUGUGGCUUUUUCCAUAGUUUGCUGUUUCUUAAGACAGAUUUCAUCUGCUGGCUAACAGCUGGGAGGAUUGUAGGGCCACCUCUGAGCAGGAGGACGGAUGCUUCGCAAACCUGAAUGGGCACGGGAAUCCCUGGAUCUUGGGAAUAUGCAGGUUCUGAUUGGGUAAAUGCAGCUUUCAUCAAUAGCUCUUCCAGCUUCCUGCUGCUCUUCCAUCUUUCAGAAAAAGGAGAAUUUUGAGCAGGGAAUAAUGGAAGGUAAAAGAUCAGCAAAGAGAAGAAAGGAAGGUAGCCGCUAUGGGGAGACUCUCAAGAACCAUUGUUCAGAAGCAAGGCUAAGAAGAUGUUUCAGGCCUGAAACAGGGGAGAUACUACAUCGAGCCAUGAAGAAGGAGGAGCAGGCUGGGGGCAUACUUAAGGCAGGGGCUUUUCUGAUUGGUCAGGGGUCCAGGCUUAUUUCUGUGGGCUUCACAGGGCACUGGGGUUCAGCCACAGGCAUGGGCUGAACAUCUGGAAGCUGGAGAGCAUAGUGCUUGCCCAGACAGGAGGCAGGAUGGAGGAGCGGAGAGCAGGGUUCCUGACCACAAGAGGCAUCUCCGGACCAACAAGCAGGAGAGGGCACUGGGACACCAGCAAGGCACAGGUCUAGAGGGGCUCAGGAGCAAAUCCUGGAAAGGCGUGAAUGACCCAGUGCAAUGGACUAAAUGUGUAUGUCCCCCAUAAAGUGCAUAUGUUGAAAUCCUCACCCCCAAGGUGAUGGUAUUAGGAGUUGGGGCCUCUGGGAGGUGAUUAGGUCAGGAGAGUGGAGCAUUCAUGAAUGGGAUUAGUGCCCUUCUAAAAGAGGCCCCAGAGAAACCCCUCAUCUCUCCCACUAUAUGAGAGAACUUUGAGAAGCCACCAUCUAUGGUCUAGGAAGCCAGCCCUGUCCAGACACCAAAUCUGUCAGAGUACCUUGAUCUUGGGCUUCUCAGCCUCCAGAAUGGCAAGAAACAAACUUCUGGGUAAUUUAAAUUACCCAGUCUAUGGUAUUUUGUUAUAGCGGCCCAAACAGACUGAGAUACCCAGAGACAGAAGGGAGAAAGGACAAAGCAGAAACCAAACUAGGCUGAUCCAUUCCAGCAUCUGGAAACUUCCUUCUUGACACAGCCUCCUCAGGGGUCUGCGGGGUAGCAGCCGGCUAAAGGGGGACGGCAGAGAGCAGCUGGUGCUAGGAAAAUCCAGGCAUCUCUGUCAGGCAGAUGCGUUUCAGCUGCGGGAGCCACUGUUUCCAGGUAGCCUCAGACAUUUCUAACAACCAAAAGAAAUGUUCACUUUAAAAAGUUGGUUCCCUUGGCACCGUUAUGGCUUCCCAGGAGAGAGUUUGGCUUGUUAUCACUUAUGUCUGUGUUUGCACAUCUUGCUAAUAGUGCCUUAUGAUAUGCUCUUGAAGAUCAAUUCAGUAUUUACUAUUGUUUCUAAGUCCGUGUUACAGGAAAUCAAUAAAUCAAACAAAUCCCUUGCCACAGCAGACCAAGAGUUUAAA